rnacentral:rRNA from 1 species
UUCCGCAAUGGGCGAAAGCCUGACGGAGCAAGACCGCGUGGGGGAAGAAGGCUCUUGGGUUGUAAACCCCUUUUCUCUGGGAAGAAAGUUGUGAAAGCAGCCUGACGGUACCAGAGGAAUCAGCAUCGGCUAACUCCGUGCCAGCAGCCGCGGUAAGACGGAGGAUGCAAGCGUUAUCCGGAAUGAUUGGGCGUAAAGCGUCCGCAGGUGGCAGUUCAAGUCUGCUGUCAAAGACCGGGGCUCAACCUCGGAAAGGCAGUGGAAACUGAACAGCUAGAGUAUGGUAGGGGCAAAGGGAAUUCCUGGUGUAGCGGUGAAAUGCGUAGAGAUCAGGAAGAACAUCGGUGGCGAAGGCGCUUUGCUGGACCAUAACUGACACUCAGGGACGAAAGCUAGGGGAGCGAAAGGGAUUAG